CCAUGUUACAUCCAUUUCGAGGAAAGAAACAAAGCACCCAUGAAAACGCUUCAUCAGGUGAGAAAAACUGAAAGAUGACGUUUUCUCGCGAGUGACGUACACAUAAUCGGUUAAGAGAAAUUCCGAACGGUCCCCGGGACUAUGAACCAUAGUAGAUAAACCAUAGUCACUAAGUUGUAGGAUACUCGUAAUCUGGGACCAAUAGAUCAGAUUUAUGGAGUCGACAUUCCGCAAACUGCUAGGAUUGAAAUAUCAAAAAUUUCAUCGAAGCAAAUUAAAAAAUGUUUUGUUCUUUGAUACUGAUUUUAUUUGUUCUUUGAUAUUCUAUCUACUAUUUUAGGUAUUAAUUGUGUUUUGGCUUUGUAGUCUUAGGCUGUAAAUGUAGUUUUAAAAUUCUAGUCAUAUACAGGUAUAUAUGUAAUUGAAAAUCUUGAUGUAAAUUCAUGAUUUUUAAGAAACAGGGCCCCUAUGGAUACCAGCCUUAGAGCUGAAUGGGCUACCCUGUGUGAAUAAACCUUUACUCACUUACUUCUUUGUAUUUCAGCCAUGGUGAAACCCCAAGUUACACCGGUAUCAGUUGGGGAAAAACUGGAUUUUAAGAAAAACUCUUCAUCAAGUACUUCAGCCACAGAAGAUGGUCAAGCUACCUCUAUUUCGCUUGAGGAGAAACUGGAUGUCCAAAGCAUUACUUUAUCAAGUGAGAAAAAAAAACAUUAGAUAAUCCAUGUUUGGAUGAAGUUUUUUUCGAGCGAUGAAAGUUAUUUCCGCUUCCAUGUGCCGAAAAAGAAGUAAAAAUGAUUGGUGACAUCCUCGGCUCUACUUAGCUCAUUGGGAAGAAAGCAACAAAAGAUAAGGUGUUGAGGCGGCUCUCGUCAGUUGCUCUGGUGCACAUCACAGCUCAUGGCCAGAUAGAACGGCAGGAGAAAUUAUCCUGGUGCCACGAACAAACUGCAAACCAAAGACACCUACCAAGGAAGAUUAUCUUCUCACCAUGAAGGAUGUGUCCGCAGAUGUUCACCAGCGGGUAAGGCUGGUUGUGCCAAGCUGCUGUCACAGCGCUCUUGAAGAGAUCAAAGCGGCUGAAGGAGUAAUUGGCAUAGCGCAAUCAUUUCUGGGUGCCGGAGCUCGCUCUGUUUUGGUGGCUCAGUGGGCGCUUGGCGACGAGGCCACGAUGGAAUUCAUGAAGUACUUCUACAAAGAACUUAUGGCAGGAAUGAGAGCCAGUGAAGCUCUUCAGCAAGCUAUGAACUGCAUGAGAAAUUCAUUGGUGAUGACGUCACACUGGACCUACAGGACGCUCCUGAAGUUUAGACUUUGGCUGAUGUACAUUUUCUGAAAUUAAAGCUGGACGAAGACUCACAAGAGAAAGGACGAGAGUCUACAUGGAUGGUAACAAAACUUCACGGACCAAACCAGGAUUGGAUUGUACAGAGACUCAAAUGGACCGGGGAAAUGGCAAUGCGCCCAGCGACAAAUACUUUUCACAUCGGAGUCUUUUUAUAAACAGUUCUCUACUGACGAUUUACUAGGCGAAGGUUUCAGUGGUACAUCAAAAAAUGGUUUCUAGGCUAUGGUGAGAAAUAUAUAUAAAAAAUGUAACUUUUGUAGAUGCUAGGUUUACUAGAAGCAAUCGUAAACUGAUGAACUCACAGCCUGAUCUUUUUUCAUUUUCAUGUGAAUGCGCCAUCGAUAAGACAUUUUGAACAUAUUUUCAAUUUUGCUAUGGGAUUUCUUGGUUAGCUUUCAUUAUGUACCCGGAGAAAAAUACUAACAGAUCGGAGGUUUGUACAAAUUUUUCUUCUGAACUAAAGAUUAAAUAAAGGGAGUGCGUUUCAGCGCUAAAAGAGGCUGUAUGCGAUCGAGUAUCCAUUGGAACUCAUUUAUUUUGAUUUAGGAUUUAUUUUUUAAGUUACCAGAGACCAGAGGAAAAAACACUUUUUACAAAGUAGUUUUUUAACAUAGAUUUCUUUACUAAAGAUUAGCUGAACGAAAGGUCAGUAUAUCAGAAAAAGGUUUCCGGGCUAUCGGGAGAUUUUAUGUUAAUUGUGUACAUUUUUCAGAUGUUAAAUCAAUCGUUAACUGAUGAACUCACGGCCUGAUCUUCUUCUCACUUUCAUUUUUUUUUUACUUGAAAGUAACAAAGAAGAGGUAUUAUGCAGGGGUUUCAUUAAGGGCCAG